UACGUAGGGGGCAAGCGUUGUCCGGAAUCAUUGGGCGUAAAGCGCGCGUAGGCGGCCCGGUAAGUCCGCUGUAAAAGUCCAGGGCUCAACCCUGGAAAGCCGGUGGAUACUGUCGGGCUCGAGUCCGGAAGAGGCGAGUGGAACUCCUGGUGUAGCGGUGGAAUGCGCAGAUAUCAGGAAGAACACCAACGGCGAAGGCAGCUCGCUGGGACGGUACUGACGCUGAGACGCGAAAGCGUGGGGAGCGAACAGG
rnacentral:rRNA from 1 species